AGUGCUGUUGGAGGAUGAAGCCUUUCAUCCAUCGGCAGAGCAUGAUGUUACUAUGCUGAUGCUCAUGCUGCUGACAAUGCACU